UGGGGAAUAUUGGACAAUGGGCGAAAGCCUGAUCCAGCCAUGCCGCGUGUGUGAAGAAGGUCUUCGGAUUGUAAAGCACUUUAAGUUGGGAGGAAGGGCAGUAAGCGAAUACCUUGCUGUUUUGACGUUACCGACAGAAUAAGCACCGGCUAACUCUGUGCCAGCAGCCGCGGUAAUACAGAGGGUGCAAGCGUUAAUCGGAAUUACUGGGCGUAAAGCGCGCGUAGGUGGUUCGUUAAGUUGAAUGUGAAAGCCCCGGGCUCAACCUGGGAACUGCAUCCAAAACUGGCGAGCUAGAGUAGGGCAGAGGGUGGUGGAAUUUCCUGUGUAGCGGUGAAAUACGUAGAUAUAGGAAGGAACACCAGUGGCGAAGGCGACCACCUGGGCUCAUACUGACACUGAGGUGCGAAAGCGUGGGGAGCAAACAGG
rnacentral:rRNA from 1 species